CAGCGCAUCUCAGGGUACAAGAUAUUCUCUAGAGAACAGCUGCAACCCUAAAGUACCUCCAGGGACUGACUACUAUCAUCUACCAGUGACUAUCACAGGAGAAUUCUGGAGACAGUGGGAAGAGGAAAAUAUCCAACAAAUCUCCUUGGUACUGGCAUGUGCUGGGCUUAUGUUAUAUGAUGCCUACAGUAUGAAAAUCUGUAUGAAAGUCUACAGUUUCCUGGUAAUUGAAGUGAUCUCUAAGGAACCAAAUGAAGUUUGGUAAAAAUCCAA